UACACGCUGUGACUAGCAUAUCAAUAAGCGGAGGAAAAGAAACUAACAAGGAUUCCCCUAGUAACGGCGAGUGAAGCGGGAAGAGCUCAAAUUUGAAAUCUUAAAGGGUUUCCCUUUACGAAUUGUAGUUUAAAGAAGUGUUUUCUGUUGAGGUUUUGGUAAAAGUUCUUUGGAAUAGGACAUCAUAGAGGGUGAGAAUCCCGUAUUUGACCUUUACUUUCAACUUUGUGAUACACUUUCAAAGAGUCGGAUUGUUUGGGAAUGCAGUCCAAAAUGGGUGGUAAAUUUCAUCUAAAGCUAAAUAUUGGCGAGAGACCGAUAGCGAACAAGUACCGUGAGGGAAAGAUGAAAAGAACUUUAAAAAGAGAGUUAAACAGUACGUGAAAUUGUCAAAAGGGAAGCGUUUGACACCAGUGUUGUUUUUCUGAAAAUCAAUUAAAGAACUGUUUAUGCUAAGUUGUUUAGACUUUAUCAGCUAACUGUUUAGUUUUGAGCUUUUCUUUAAUGCACUUUUCAGUUAACAAGUCAACAUCAAUUUCUUUUGCUGUAAAAAAGCUUGAGGAAGGUGGCUUGAGAUUCGUCUUAAGUGUUUAUAGCCUCUUGCCUAUGCAGUCGGAGAGAUUGAGGUCUGCAGCGUAGAUCCUUCGGGGCUAAAUGCAUUUGUGCUAAGUUAUAGCAUUUUAUAGACAACUUGUUGACUAUGAUUUGUCUUGUAGCUUACUCGCUUAUGUUAUUUUACCUACGCUUAGGAUGUUGAAGUCAUCGUAUCGCGC
rnacentral:rRNA from 1 species